rnacentral:lncRNA from 1 species
UAUCUAGAACUAUAAGCUUGAGGAAGGCGCCAGUUUCUAGAGAAUUAAGAUAAAGUAGGGGGUCAGGAUUUGGAGAGGAGGAGGAGGAAGAAGAAGAAGAAGAAGAAGAAGAAAGAAGAAGAAGAAGAAAGAAAAUACAAGGAGAGGAAAUCGAGGAGAAGAGGAAAUUAGAGUUUUCGAAAUUGAGGAAAAGAUGAGAUUAGAUAGAGUUUUCUCUUAGGUAAAGAAGUGGAAAGAAAUAAAAGGGUGAUGGGGAAUAUUUAAAGAGAUGCAACAA